rnacentral:snRNA from 1 species
CUACUUACCUGGCAGGGUAAGUACCAUGAUCACGUAGGUGGUUUUCCCAGGGCGAGACUCAUCUAUUGCAAAAGUAUGAUGUUACCUAGUGAAAUUAGACAUUGGCAUAUCCUGUGGCCC